GGAGAUAAAGAGGUGUUUUAUUCACUUCCCAACUGUGAAUGAUGUCGUUUUGAAAGAAUUUACAGACACAAAAUGGUCCAAAGCUUUUGCUUCUGCUGAGAUUUUGAAAAAUAUGGACGGAGAAAAGAGCAAAAUUGCGACGGAUUUCCUUGCCAAUGUCGCCCGUAUACGUGCCUUCACGGUUGUUGUAUACAGCGACAGUACCAGUGGUGCAUUGCAAAUGACAAUGUUGUAAUUUGCGCUGCACUGGUACUGCAUGUCGCUGUAUGUAUACGGUUCAAUACCGGCGACAUUGGCAAGGAAAUCCGUCUCAAUUUUGCACUUUUCUCCGUAAAAUACCUCGAGAUUCUAACAAGACUGAAUUUGAAGAUCCAUCUGAUAUCCCUUCACAACCUAAGAAGCUGUGUAGGAGUCUACAAUCUCGGCGCUCAUCUGCCAGCUUUGAUUUGUUGGACCUAUUUGAGACCAUCAGCAUAAAAUUUACGCGUUCAUAUUGAGCACUAGAUGUAUGCAAUAUUUUUUGCUGUUUAUCAGCAGAUUUUUCAACAUUAACUGGUUCUAUUGAUAACAACAAAUAUAUAUGAUAAAAUUAAAAUGAACAAAGGCAAGAUCAUUGUGAAACUUUUUCUCUGAUAUUUCUUAUUCAAUUUGGGGAUUAAAAAAAAAUGAUUUUUAUAUCCCUAUGGUUCCUUUGUAAAUUAUGUACAAAAUAACCAACCUUUCAUGAAUAGACAUAUACAAAUGUAUGGGUCGACUGGGGUGUUUUACAUAUACAUUAUGUGCAACUGUAAUAUAAGAAUAUACUAAAUAUAUGUAAAGAUAUAAUUUCAGAGCUGGAAAAAUGUUUACUAAGUAAUCACUUACAGUAAUGUACUAUUGUACUUGCAUUGCAUGCUCAUUUGUUUCAUAAUAAUAAUAAUAAUAUGGACAUUUAUUAUUUAUUAUGCAUACAUGUAUUUUGCCAUGUUGAAGCAUUGCCAAGAUUUAUAGUCAAAUAUAAAACUUUAUUACGUUCAAAUGUAUGGGUCGUUUCAAACUUUCCAUCACACUCCUUGGACACUUGUUCUAAUCGAAAUAUGUAAAAUUUAUGAAUUCCUCAACAGUAACAGCUUUUUGGCAAUUUUUCUAUCAACAUAUUUUAGGACAUUUUCUUUGAACCAAAAAAAAAAGAGACAACAAAUGACUAGACACAUCUUAUCAAUGUUUCAUAAUUUAUUUCAAUUCCAUCAAUAUUUAUGUAAAAACUGUUAACAAUCUUUGCAGUUCAAGUUAAAUUGCAUUUGUAAAUUACAACAUACAUGUACCAUAGUUCUGAUUUCACUGGCAGUGGCAAGUACCGGUUUUAGAAAAAGUACCCGGUAAUCUACUUGUAGAUAAAUGUCAUUGACAAAAUGGUAGUACGGUAAUACAUUUUACGUAAUGAAUGAAAUCAAAUUAAACAGAGAAGAAUAUAAUUUA